UACGUAGGGGGGCAAGCGUUGUCCGGAUUUAUUGGGCGUAAAGAGCGUGUAGGCGGCUUGACAGGUCUGCUGUGAAAACUCGAGGCUCAACCUCGAGAUGUCGGCGGAAACCGUCUGGCUAGAGUCCGGAAGAGGAGAGUGGAAUUCCUGGUGUAGCGGUGAAAUGCGCAGAUAUCAGGAAGAACACCUAUGGCGAAGGCAGCUCUCUGGGACGGUACUGACGCUGAGACGCGAAAGCGUGGGUAGCAAACAGG
rnacentral:rRNA from 1 species